rnacentral:pre_miRNA from 1 species
GUUGUGGAUGGUGUUCAGCACCAAGGACAGGUGUGUUUACCUAGUUGUGGAUGGUGUUCAGCACCAGGGACAGGUGUGUUUACCU